AGUUGGAAACGACUGUUAAUACCGCAUAAUAUCUGUGGAUUAAAGGUGGCUUUCGGGCUGUCGCAGAUGGAUGAGCCUGCGUUGGAUUAGCUAGUUGGUGGGGUAAGGGCCCACCAAGGCUACGAUCCAUAGCUGAUUUGAGAGGAUGAUCAGCCACAUUGGGACUGAGACACGGCCCAAACUCCUACGGGAGGCAGCAGUGGGGAAUAUUGGACAAUGGGGGCAACCCUGAUCCAGCAAUGCCAUGUGUGUGAAGAAGGCCCUAGGGUUGUAAAGCACUUUAGUUGGGGAGGAAAGCCUCAAGGUUAAUAGCCUUGGGGGAGGACGUUACCCAAAGAAUAAGCACCGGCUAACUCCGUGCCAGCAGCCGCGGUAAUACGGGGGGUGCAAGCGUUAAUCGGAAUUACUGGGCGUAAAGGGUCUGUAGGUGGUUUGUUAAGUCAGAUGUGAAAGCCCAGGGCUCAACCUUGGAACUGCAUUUGAUACUGGCAAACUAGAGUACGGUAGAGGAAUGGGGAAUUUCUGGUGUAGCGGUGAAAUGCGUAGAGAUCAGAAGGAACACCAAUGGCGAAGGCAACAUUCUGGACCGAUACUGACACUGAGGGACGAAAGCGUGGGGAUCAAACAGGAUUAGAUACCCUGGUAGUCCACGCUGUAAACGAUGAGUACUAGCUGUUGGAGUCGGUGUAAAGGCUCUAGUGGCGCAGCUAACGCGAUAAGUACUCCGCCUGGGGACUACGGCCGCAAGGCUAAAACUCAAAGGAAUUGACGGGGACCCGCACAAGCGGUGGAGCAUGUGGUUUAAUUCGAUGCAACGCGAAGAACCUUACCUGGUCUUGACAUCCUGCGAACUUUCUAGAGAUAGAUUGGUGCCUUCGGGAACGCAGUGACAGGUGCUGCACGGCUGUCGUCAGCUCGUGUUGUGAAAUGUUGGGUUAAGUCCCGCAACGAGCGCAACCCCUAUUGAUAGUUACCAUCAUUAAGUUGGGUACUCUAUUGAGACUGCCGCUGACAAGGCGGAGGAAGGUGGGGACGACGUCAAGUCAUCAUGGCCCUUACGACCAGGGCUACACACGUGCUACAAUGGGUAUUACAGAGGGCUGCGAAGGUGCGAGCUGGAGCGAA
rnacentral:rRNA from 1 species